rnacentral:rRNA from 1 species
UACGUAGGGUGCGAGCGUUAAUCGGAAUUACUGGGCGUAAAGCGUGCGCAGGCGGUUUUGUAAGUCAGAUGUGAAAUCCCCGGGCUUAACCUGGGAACUGCGUUUGAAACUACAAGGCUAGAGUGUGGCAGAGGGGGGUGGAAUUCCACGUGUAGCAGUGAAAUGCGUAGAGAUGUGGAGGAACACCGAUGGCGAAGGCAGCCCCCUGGGUUAACACUGACGCUCAGGCACGAAAGCGUGGUGAGCAAACAGG